rfam:Rhodococcus sp. BCP1 chromosome, whole genome shotgun sequence.
CUUCACCGAGCCGAGCCACAACGGCCGGUCGGGGGGCCGAUCGCGGCCGUAGCCGGCCAGCAGGGCGGACGCCUC